GACGAACGCUGGCGGCGUGCUUAACACAUGCAAGUCGAACGAUGAGGCACCAGCUUGCUGGUGUGGAUUAGUGGCGAACGGGUGAGUAACACGUGAGUAACCUGCCCCUCACUCUGGGAUAAGCCUGGGAAACUGGGUCUAAUACUGGAUACGACCGAUCUCCGCAUGGAGUGUUGGUGGAAAGUUUUUGUGGUGGGGGAUGGACUCGCGGCCUAUCAGCUUGUUGGUGGGGUAGUGGCCUACCAAGGCGACGACGGGUAGCCGGCCUGAGAGGGCGACCGGCCACACUGGGACUGAGACACGGCCCAGACUCCUACGGGAGGCAGCAGUGGGGAAUAUUGCACAAUGGGCGAAAGCCUGAUGCAGCGACGCCGCGUGAGGGAUGACGGCCUUCGGGUUGUAAACCUCUUUCACCAGGGACGAAGCUAACGUGACGGUACCUGGAGAAGAAGCACCGGCUAACUACGUG
rnacentral:rRNA from 1 species